AAUAACUUCAUUUUUUAGUUUUUAGAUAUAAUGUUUGACUAUUUGUUUUAUUUAAAUUCUUUUUGCAAUUAAUAUUUUUCUUGCUAUUAGAUGAUAAAAUAUAAAUAGUAUUUUAAGCAUAACUAAUUUUUUUGAGUUUUUUAUAUAAAUUUUCAAAUAAGACGAAUGGCCAGACGCUAGACACAAAAACC
rnacentral:pre_miRNA from 1 species